rnacentral:rRNA from 1 species
UACGUAGGGGGCAAGCGUUGUCCGGAAUUAUUGGGCGUAAAGCGCGCGCAGGCGGUCUUUUAAGUCUGGUGUAUAAGUGCGGGGCUCAACCCCGUGAGGCACCGGAAACUGGGAGACUUGAGUGCAGAAGAGGAGAGCGGAAUUCCACGUGUAGCGGUGAAAUGCGUAGAGAUGUGGAGGAACACCAGUGGCGAAGGCGACUCUUUGGUCUGUAACUGACGCUGAGGCGCGAAAGCGUGGGGAGCAAACAGG